GACGGAGGAUGCAAGCGUUAUCCGGAAUGAUUGGGCGUAAAGCGUCCGCAGGUGGCAGUUCAAGUCUGCUGUCAAAGACCGGGGCUUAACUUCGGAAAGGCAGUGGAAACUGAACAGCUAGAGUAUGGUAGGGGCAGAGGGAAUUCCUGGUGUAGCGGUGAAAUGCGUAGAGAUCAGGAGGAACAUCGGUGGCGAAGGCGCUCUGCUGGACCAUAACUGACACUCAGGGACGAAAGCUAGGGGAGCGAAUGGG
rnacentral:rRNA from 1 species